GGCCUCGUGGCCUAAUGGCUAGGGCGCUAGAUUUCGGUUUCCAUACAGUUCUCUAGAGAUUGUCGGUUCGAGUCCGGCCGAGGUCG